rnacentral:rRNA from 1 species
GUGGGGAAUUUUGGACAAUGGGCGAAAGCCUGAUCCAGCAAUGCCGCGUGCAGGAUGAAGGCCCUCGGGUUGUAAACUGCUUUUGUACGGAACGAAAAGCCUGGGGCUAAUAUCCCCGGGUCAUGACGGUACCGUAAGAAUAAGCACCGGCUAACUACGUGCCAGCAGCCGCGGUAAUACGUAGGGUGCAAGCGUUAAUCGGAAUUACUGGGCGUAAAGCGUGCGCAGGCGGUUUUGUAAGACAGUGGUGAAAUCCCCGGGCUCAACCUGGGAACUGCCAUUGUGACUGCAAGGCUAGAGUGCGGCAGAGGGGGAUGGAAUUCCGCGUGUAGCAGUGAAAUGCGUAGAUAUGCGGAGGAACACCGAUGGCGAAGGCAAUCCCCUGGGCCUGCACUGACGCUCAUGCACGAAAGCGUGGGGAGCAAACAGGAUUAGAUACCCCAGUAGUCC